rnacentral:lncRNA from 1 species
AAGCUUGUGUGAUUUGCAUUUGAAAUGGCGGAGCUAGAUUGGUUUCAAGAUAAGCUUAGUCGUCUUUCUACAGACGAAAACGUUCUGGAUAAUCUCAGUGAAGUUAACAUCGCCGCAGCCAAUCUGAGACCUAACCAGCUCUCUGUAAUCGCUUCCAAUCUCUCUCUAGGGUCUAUCUUCGACUGCGUCAACUCCUCUGAUUUAGAUCAGAUCAACGCAGCCUGCAGUGCACUCAAAUUAUUUUUAUCUGCUUUGGAGCCAAGAUUUGUUCUCUCUCAGUAUGGAGUUCACCUGAUGAGAGCCUUAAAUCAUCCGGAACCAAAUGUUCAGCUGCUAACAAUUGAGCAGUUAAAUCGUAGUAUCUCAGAGGUCGAUCUUCUUUCAUCCAAUGAUCUUGAGAUCAUAAAAGCUGUGAUAACUGCCUCGGCAAGGAUUUGGUAGUAGCGCAACCUUGUAUCAAAUUUUUAAUAACAUUGAGCCACUCCCCUGCCGGUUUUAAGCGCACUUUCUCACCACCAAUUUUACGUCUGCUUGAAUCCACCAUGGCAAUCAGUAGCGUUGUACAACUCAGGGUUUUUGAA